rnacentral:tRNA from 1 species
ACCGGUGUGGCUCAGUGGGUAGAGCGUUGGCCUGAGAACUCAAGGGUCCCGGGUUCGAUUCCGGUCAAGGGCA